AGUCUGUCAUUGCAACAACUCUUUGGCAUAAACAAAAGAUGAGGAGUGCAAUGAAGAGGCUGGAAUAAGCUGUACAUGUCAUGGCACAAUAUUGGAGAUGGCAAGGAAAUGGCAUAAAAGAUCUGUCUUGUCAAGAUAAUUGAAAUGGUCAUUAAUAAAAAGCUCUUGUUGCAUCUGAGGUAGAGACUG
rnacentral:lncRNA from 1 species